rnacentral:ncRNA from 1 species
UUGCAGAUGGUGUUCCCCUUUAAUGGUUGAAGCCGUGGGGCUGAUUAGCGCAAUGUCAGACCCUCACCAUAUUGCAA